AUUGAACGCUGGCGGCAUGCCUAACACAUGCAAGUCGAACGGAAACAGGUUAAGCUGACGCGUGGCGAACGGGUGAGUGAUGUAUCGGAACGUGCCCAGUCGCGGGGGAUAACUGCUCGAAAGAGCAGCUAAAACCGCAUACGACCUGAGGGUGAAAGCGGGGGAUCGCAAGACCACGCGCGAUUGGAGCGGCCGAUAUCCCAUUAGGUAGUUGGUGAGGUAAAGGCUCACCAAGCCGACGAACUGUAGCUGGUCUGAGAGGACGACCAGCCACACUGGGACUGAGACACGGCCCAGACUCCUACGGGAGGCAGCAGUGGGGAAUCUUGCACAAUGGGCGCAAGCCUGAUCCAGCCAUGCCGCGUGCGUGAAGAAGGUCUUCGGGUUGUAAACCUCUUUUGUCAGGGAAGAAAAGGUUCGUGCUAAUCCCUGCGACUCUUGACGGUACCUGAAGAAUAAGCACCGGCUAACUACGUG
rnacentral:rRNA from 1 species